CCCUUAGAUGUUCUGGGCCGCACGCGCGCUACACUGAUGCAUUCAACGAGCCUAUCCUUGACCGACAGGUCCGGGUAAUCUUUGAAUCUGCAUCGUGACGGGGAUAGAUUAUUGCAAUUAUUAAUCUUCAACGAGGAAUGCCUAGUAGGCGCAAGUCAUCAGCUUGCGUCGAUUACGUCCCUGCCCUUUGUACACACCGCCCGUCGCUCCUACCGAUUGGGUGUGCUGGUGAAAUGUUCGGAUCGGCCGUUUGUCGCGGUUUCCGCGUCAUGUGGCUGAGAAGUUCAUUAACCCUCCCACCUAGAGGAAGGAGAAGUCGUAACA
rnacentral:rRNA from 1 species